AUUGAACGCUGGCGGCAUGCUUUACACAUGCAAGUCGAACGGUAACAGGGAGCUUGCUCCGCUGACGAGUGGCGAACGGGUGAGUAAUGCGUCGGAACGUGCCGAGUAGUGGGGGAUAACGCAGCGAAAGUUGUGCUAAUACCGCAUACGUACUGAGGUAGAAAGUGGGGGACCUUCAGGCCUCACGCUAUUCGAGCGGCCGACGUCUGAUUAGCUAGUAGGUGAGGUAAAGGCUCACCUAGGCGACGAUCAGUAGUGGGUCUGAGAGGAUGAUCCGCCACACUGGGACUGAGACACGGCCCAGACUCCUACGGGAGGCAGCAGUGGGGAAUUUUGGACAAUGGGCGAAAGCCUGAUCCAGCCAUGCCGCGUGUCUGAAGAAGGCCUUCGGGUUGUAAAGGACUUUUGUCGGGGAGGAAAUCCCCAGCGCUAAUACCGCUGGGGGAUGACAGUACCUGAAGAAUAAGCACCGGCUAACUACGUGCCAGCCGCCGCCGUAA
rnacentral:rRNA from 1 species